rnacentral:ncRNA from 2 species
CUAAGGGUUAUGACGGGGAGAAGUACGUGGAUUUUUUCUUUGCAGGGAGAGAGGGUCGUGACUGAAAGCCCUCUUAAAGAAACUCUUCGGAAAGUUCGCCCCUGAGCUGCCAUCUGAACGCGUGAUUUUUAUGCCAGUAGGGUGUGCCGGUUUCUUCUACCGUUAUCAGAAGUGGAUAACUUAUUAGUUUAUCCUCUGAGUGGUUCUUUACGGUUUUGUAGGAACAAUUUUGGGUGGUACCACGGAGAUAUUCCGUCCCUGCU